GACGAACGCUGGCGGCGUGCCUAAUACAUGCAAGUAGAACGCUGAAGGAGGAGCUUGCUUCUCUGGAUGAGUUGCGAACGGGUGAGUAACGCGUAGGUAACCUGCCUGGUAGCGGGGGAUAACUAUUGGAAACGAUAGCUAAUACCGCAUAAUAGUAGAUGUUGCAUGACAUUUGCUUAAAAGGUGCAAUUGCAUCACUACCAGAUGGACCUGCGUUGUAUUAGCUAGUUGGUGGGGUAACGGCUCACCAAGGCGACGAUACAUAGCCGACCUGAGAGGGUGAUCGGCCAAACUGGGACUGAGACACGGCCCAGACUCCUACGGGAGGCAGCAGUAGGGAAUCUUCGGCAAUGGACGGAAGUCUGACCGAGCAACGCCGCGUGAGUGAAGAAGGUUUUCGGAUCGUAAAGCUCUGUUGUAAGAGAAGAACGAGUGUGAGAGUGGAAAGUUCACACUGUGACGGUAGCUUACCAGAAAGGGACGGCUAACUACGUG
rnacentral:rRNA from 1 species